UCUAUCAUAGGAGGUGGUGAGAAAGCCCGAGCACUUCACAUAUCAAGAGGAAAACUAUUGCCCAGAGAAAGAAUUGACAAUCUCAUAGACCCAGGGUCUCCAUUUCUGGAAUUAUCCCAGUUUGCAGGUUACCAGUUAUAUGACAAUGAGGAGGUGCCAGGAGGUGGCAUUAUUACAGGCAUUGGAAGAGUAUCAGGAGUAGAAUGCAUGAUUAUUGCCAAUGAUGCCACUGUCAAAGGAGGUGCCUACUACCCAGUGACUGUGAAAAAACAAUUACGGGCCCAAGAAAUUGCCAUGCAAAACAGGCUCCCCUGCAUCUACUUAGUUGAUUCGGGAGGAGCAUACUUACCUCGACAAGCAGAUGUGUUUCCGGAUCGAGACCACUUUGGCCGUACAUUCUAUAAUCAGGCAAUUAUGUCUUCUAAAAAUAUUGCACAGAUCGCAGUGGUCAUGGGCUCCUGCACCGCAGGAGGAGCCUAUGUGCCUGCCAUGGCUGAUGAAAACAUCAUUGUACGCAAGCAGGGUACCAUUUUCUUGGCAGGACCCCCCUUGGUUAAAGCGGCAACUGGGGAAGAAGUAUCUGCUGAGGAUCUUGGAGGUGCUGAUCUUCAUUGCAGAAAGUCUGGAGUAAGUGACCACUGUGCUUUGGAUGAUCAUCAUGCCCUUCACUUAACUAGGAAGGUUGUGAGGAAUCUAAAUUAUCAGAAGAAAUUGGAUGUGAGUACGAUAUGUUCUUAUAUCUUUUAUUUUCCUGAAAUGCAUUUUGACUCACUG
rnacentral:sRNA from 1 species